AGUAAGCCUACUGUAGGCACUAGCAUUUGGCAGGUAUGGAUAAGCAUCCGGAGGUGGCAUAACACAGUUAUCGCCAUUAAAGUAAACCUUUCGAGGGAAAGCCCAUCCCUUUUCAAAGGUAAACUUCGAUUUAUCUUUCUGAAAUAUGAUCUCUGAUUGCACAUUUCCAGAAGGUCCAGCCUGCAUUAGUUGAUCAUUGUAAUAUUGGAUUCCCCAAAACAUAGCAGUAUCAUUAAUGGAACCAUAGGGGAGCAGUG
rnacentral:misc_RNA from 1 species